CCUACGGGCGGCUGCAGUGAGGAAUAUUGGUCAAUUGGCGGAAGCCUGAACCAGCCAAGUAGCGUGCAGGAUGACGGCCCUACGGGUUGUAAACUGCUUUUAUACGGGAACAAAGCGCCUUACGUGUAGGGCUUUGCAUGUACCGUAUGAAUAAGGACCGGCUAAUUCCGUGCCAGCAGCCGCGGUAAUACGGAGGGUCCGGGCGUUAACCGGAUUUAGUGGGGUUAACGGGUGCGCAGGCGGUCUGUAAAGUCAGCGGGCAAAUCCCGGGGCGAAACCCCGGACCGCCGUUGAAACUGGCAGUCUCGAGUUGGAGAGAAGUAUGCGGAAUGCGCGGGGUAGCGGUGAAAUGCAUAGAUAUCGCGCAGAACUCCGAUUGCGAAGGCAGCAUGCCGGCUCCACACUGACGCUGAGGCACGAAAGCGUGGGUAUCGAACAGGAUUAGAUACCCGUGUAGUC
rnacentral:rRNA from 1 species